UCAGUAGGGCGGGACAUCCUCACCUCAGGCUGUGCGGAUGCGGGGAGACCCAGGCUUCCCCCGGUCUCCCCGCAGGGUGCUCCCCUUUUACCGUCACCGAACGCAGUCAAAACACUGUUCCGUCACCUCCCAGUAAUUUACGAGAACGUAAAAAGACCCAAACAACAAAAACACACCAAGAAAGAAAAGAAGGAGCCUGAUGUGGAGGCACCCAUCUCUAAUCCCAGCACUCAGGAGACACAAACAGACCAUCCGCUGUGAUUUUGAAGCCAGCCUGGUUUUCAUACCAAAUUCCGAACUACUGAGACUCUUCCUCUAAAAAGGCAAGCUAGGUGUGUUACUGAAAUCUCAAUACUCAGGAGCCAGAGGCAGUAGGACCUCUGCUAAUUCAGGAUCAACCCGGCCUACAAAUGCUUUCCAAGACAGAAAGGCCUAAUGUCAAAACCCUAUCUUUAAAAGGAAAAAAAAGGCAAAAUUAAAACUUUGAAACAUAGGAAGGUAAAAACAUCUUGUCGGUAACAGAGAUACAUCGUAAGAAAUGUUAAGUCCUUCAGAAAGAAGGAAAAUUGCGUCUACACGAAGGAAUCAAGAAUACUACAACCAGACCGGAGAGAUCACUCAGGGAUGAACAGCGGAGAGAUCCCUCACGGAUGAACAGAGGAGAGAUCCCUCACGGAUGAACAGUGGAGAGAUCACUCAGGGAUGAACAGAGGAGAGAUCCCUCAGGGAUGAACAGAGGAGAGAUCCCUCACGGAUGAACAGUGGAGAGAUCACUCAGGGAUGAACAGAGGAGAGAUCACUCACGGAUGAACAGCGGAGAGAUCCCUCACGGAUGAACAGCGGAGAGAUCACUCACCGAUGAACAGCGGAGAGAUCCCUCACGGAUGAACAGAGGAGAGAUCCCUCACGGAUGAACAGAGGAGAGAUCCCUCACGGAUGAACAGAGGAGAGAUCCCUCACGGAUGAACAGAGGAGAGAUCCCUCACGGAUGAACAGAGGAGAGAUCCCUCACGGAUGAACGGCGACGUUGCCUGCUCUUGCAGAGGACCUGGGUUUGAUUCUCAGCACCCACGUGGCAGCUCACAACACCCCAGUUCCGUGAGAUCAGAGGCCCUUUUCCAGCCUUUGCAGGCACAUAUGUGGUGCACUUAUACAGACAAAACAUCCACUUGUACAUACAAAAUUUAAAAAUAAAAAGUAAACACAGUAAAAUGGGG
ensembl:lncRNA